rnacentral:rRNA from 1 species
CCUACGGGUGGCUGCAGUAGGGAAUCUUCCACAAUGGGCGAAAGCCUGAUGGAGCAACGCCGCGUGGGUGAAGAAGGUCUUCGGAUCGUAAAACCCUGUUGUUAGAGAAGAAAGUGCGUGAGAGUAACUGUUCACGUUUCGACGGUAUCUAACCAGAAAGCCACGGCUAACUACGUGCCAGCAGCUGCGGUAAUACGUAGGUGGCAAGCGUUAUCCGGAUUUAUUGGGCGUAAAGGGAACGCAGGCGGUCUUGUAAGUCUGAUGUGAAAGCCGUCGGCUUAACCGGAGUAGUGCAUUGGAAACUGGGUGAGUUGAGUGGAGAAGAAGGGAGGGGAACGCGAUGUGUAGCGGUGAAAUGCGUAGAU